rnacentral:lncRNA from 1 species
CUCCUCUAGCCUGCUAACAUCAUUUCACCGGGGCUUACCUUACAGGACAAGAUGUUUCCAAAGGCAGAGAAAGUGUCAUACAGUGCCUUGUUGUCUAUGGAUUUGUCCAGGUUCUUGAUGAAGACAUUUCCCACCCCAGAUUUUCUCAACGAGGGAUCCCUCUGCGACCACAUGAUGCGGAUCGGCUUUCCCUUCAUCACGUCGAAGUUCAUGGUGUCCAAGGCCCUCUCAGCUGUCAAAGAGGAACACACAUCAAUUAGGAAUGCUGAUCAACUAAGAGGACUGUCAGAUGCCAUGCCAGAAAGAUUCCUGAACUACUAAUCCCAAAUUUAAAAAAGUAUGAAGAUGGCCUGCCUCGGGACACCAAGAUCCUCACCAUGGACUAAGCUCAUGUUCAAGGGACUCUGAGGCCCACCGACUAACUAGAUUCCACCCCAGUUUUUUUUUUUAUUCUCAUUGUUAUUUUUCUAGACAGGGUCUCUCUAUAUAGCCCUGACUGUCCUGGAACCUAUAUUUAGAUCAGGUUGGCCUUGAACUCACACAGUCUGCUACUGCCAGAGUUCUGGGAUUAGAGGCAUUGCCACCACGCCUUGCCUAUUUUUAUCCAAACAAAAAGUGGAAGGAUAAACUGUCACACCUUUAUCACCGGCCUUGAGGUACCUAGGCCUUCCAAAAGUUUAAUUCUAUGGACUCCUAAGAAUUCAGAUGCCCUUUUUUUCUAGUAGGAGGUUGGAUCGCUCCUUGACAGCCCAAACAAGCCCACCUAGCACCAGACAUUGGUGCCACAAUGGUACACUUCACUGGUGGCAAAGAUGCCCACUUUUCCUUAUGUGACCAGUGACUUCACUGAAGUAAUGACCUAAGCACCCUCUAUGACAAGAUUAAAACGGGGUCUAAGGUACGGCACAGUGACACAAGCCUAAAACCACAGCACAAGAAAGAAGUCAGCCUGGGUGAGGUGACUGCCAAAAUAGUCAAACUAAACAGACAGCUGGGCAUGGGGCUCUAAAUUCCAGCAGUGUUGUGGAGUUAAAACAUUCCAUCCUGAAGAAAGCGCCUUAUUAAGCAGGAAGGCAAAAACUCAAAUUAGCCUUAGGAAGUUCCCGAAACUGAGCACAUUCCCUAGGGCCAUCCCAGCAAGAAAAGCUGUCAUAUCGGGCCAGUUUCCUGGAAGAUGCAGACAACUGAAGCACCUGGAAAGGCCACUCUGUUCAGUGGCCUGUGCUCCAAGCUUGCCAGCUUUGUGAGCUGUCAUCGUCUAUGCAGGGGUGGCCUUUGGUGAUGCAGCUGUCUGUAAGCAACCCCUCACCCAUAUCCCUGUAAGUAACCCCAAUAAAGCUCAUUAAUUAGUUCAUAAAGUUGGA